rnacentral:rRNA from 1 species
UACAUGGGGUGCAAACGUUGCUCGGAAUUAUUGGGCGUAAAGCGCACGUAGGUGGUCUGUUAUGUCAGAUGUGAAAGCCCUCGGCUUAACUGAGGAAGUGCACCUGAAACUGGCAGGCUUGAGUACGAAAGAGGGUCGCGGAAUUCCCGGUGUAGAGGUGAAAUUCGUAGAUAUCAGGAGGAACACCGGUGGCGAAGGCGGCUUGCUGGGCCAGUUCUGACGCUGAGGAGCGAAAGCGUGGGGAGCGAACAGG